UACAGAGGUCUCAAGCGUUGUUCGGAUUCAUUGGGCGUAAAGGGUGCGUAGGCGGCGCGGUAAGUCGGGUGUGAAAUCUCGGAGCUUAACUCCGAACUGCAUUCGAUACUGCCGUGCUUGAGGACUGGAGAGGAGACUGGAAUUUACGGUGUAGCGGUGGAAUGCGCAGAUAUCAGGAGGAACACCGGUGGCGAAGGCGGGUCUCUGGGCAGUGAACUGACGCUGAGGAGCGAAAGCGUGGGGAGCGAACAGG
rnacentral:rRNA from 1 species